rnacentral:lncRNA from 1 species
AGAUUAGUGAUUUGGGAAUAACACAAGUGUAAGUGUGUUCUCAAACUCGUCGAGUGAUAUACACUUAACAAAAAAUGAGAAUUUUUUUUAGAGAACUAAGCACAUCAAUACAAGGUUGUACUUCAUCAGAGAUGUUAUUGAAGAUGAAGAUGUUUUUCUAUAAAAGAUACAUACUACAGUAAAUCUGAAGGACUAACUAACAAAGGGAAUACAUAAAGAAGUUUGAGCAGGGGCGAGUGAGCCUCAAAGUUCUUGCCUAAAAAUUCAUAGGAUAGCGAGAAAGUUUUAUGUUGACUGGAUCAUGGCGCAUGAAAAGAAGAAAACAAGGGAUAAAAUAUCAGGUAAAGAAAAUCGACAUGACAUAUUUAGUUAAGGUAUUUCUCUUGUGUCUGUGCAGGAGAAGUAGUUGAGGAAUCUGCAACUAUAGUUGAGCAGAAGUAGCACAUCGAAAAGACACUCACUUGAGUAGUCAUUAGAGUAGGUGUAAAAAGGGAUGUGUGAAUCUUCAAAGGUCCAUAAAUGAGGAGUGGCGAACUUCAGGUUAUUAACAAUGAAAGUUGGGAAUUACAAAGAAUAAGAUGCAAAGGAGUCGUAUACACAUGAGCUGAGCCUGAGCUUCUUACCAGAGUAUUUUGGUGGAAUUGGUGAAAAGACUAACACGAUCAAUAACUAUCAUUGAAGGAAGAUGUGAUAUUCAAAUUCAAGAAGAAAAGGAGGCUAGACUGAUAACAAAGAUAUUCACAUCAAAGAAAGAAAAAAAGGAUAUUCACAUCUCGGACUGUAUUUGUCAAAACUCUGGACAGUUAUGCGAACGAUCCUGGCGCGUGGCGGAGACUCCUAACUCAGUUCUGACCGCGGGGGAGCACGACUAGGCAGAUGGAAGACGUCUCUCUGGUACGGAAGCGAGUCGGGUGAUGAGGAGGUUGCGGGAUGGGUCGGUGUUUUUAGGGUUUGGUUGGAACUUGCCGAUGGUUUUCCCUUUCAAAUCGGCGGUUCUUCCCUGGAGAUGGAGGCGCGUGGCUUCGUGUCUCGUCAUCCCACCGGCAGAUCUGAAGGCUGGUCCUGUUGAGGCGGCUUGUAGGUCAGAUCCAAAAGGUGUGAGGGGCGGUGGUGCAAGCUCGGUGUUUGCGUCAUCGUUGUCUAUAUCCCCGCCAAGUGAACGUAGAGGGAUUCUUCUCUCGACGGCGUGAACAGAGUGCAUACGGUUGACUGAACUGGCUCUGAUUUUCACGUGCUGCUCAGGAUCCGAUAACUGUGGAAGGUCGUCUAUGGCCUAACCGGCGGUUGGAGAAUAAAAGCUUCAGUUGGACGAGCAGUGUCAUGUCACCGGCGUGAAGGCACUCCCGGGAAAGGCUGUCCUCCGGUUCUCGGAGGCAGGACGUGUUAGGGCCUUGGUGGCGUACAUGAAAACAGCAAAUUAUUCGCACACUACAAGAAAACAGC